rnacentral:rRNA from 1 species
UACGUAGGUGGCAAGCGUUGUCCGGAAUCACUGGGCGUAAAGCGCGCGCAGGCGGCGAUCUACGUCUGGGGUGAAAGCCCGGAGCUCAACUCCGGGACUGCCUUGGAUACGGGAUCGCUUGAGGAUUGGAGAGGCAAGGGGGAAUUCCACGUGUAGCGGUGAAAUGCGUAGAUAUGUGGAGGAACACCUGUGGCGAAGGCGCCUUGCUGGCCAAAUUUCUGACGCUGAGGCGCGAAAGCGUGGGGAGCAAACAGG